AAAAAGACAAACCCUGGGUUUCCGUGUCCAACUUUAACUGUCCGUUUUAUAUGAAAUUUUUUUAUAAUUCGUAUUUUCAUUAUUGUUAGAUGAUAAACCAUAAUUAAUAUUUUAUGCAUGACUUGUUUUUUUAAUUUUUUUCAUAAUUUUUUUAAAUAAGACGAACGGUCAAACGUGACACGGAAAACAUGGUU
rnacentral:pre_miRNA from 1 species